GGGGGCAGGCUUUGGGCUCCUUACCAAGCUUUACUGAAUACCUACUGUGUGCAGGGGUGCUCUGGAUCUUGCAGGGUCUGGCUUUCCUCAGCUGUCACCCUCCCUCUCCCCCUCCCCCUCCAGACCAUUCCGAUCUCCCUCUCUCCAGCCCGGCUAACAGGAAACGCAGCCGGAGAGGUCAAGAGUCCUGGGCUUUCAGAGCCCAGUGUCCACACAACAUGGAGCUGUCUGUGAGGGGGGAGCAGGGGCUUCCUGUUUACAAGAAUCCCAAGGACCCUCAGGGGUGGUGCCUUGGACAGGCUUGGGGGCAGCCCCUUGGCUCUGGCGGCCUGGGAGGGGCCUCCAGAAUAUCAACCAGCAAGGCUCAGACCGUACGCCCCGUAUGGGAUCGGAAGUGAGGAGUCUUUGAAUAAUGGCUGGCUGGAGUUGAGGACCUAAGCAUCUGGGGUAUUGAUCCAGGACCUGAGGGUCAGGACCCGGUGAGAAAAGGCCAGCCGUGGCAGCAGGGGAUUUGCCCUGUCACUACCUGUCACCUAACUG